GGACGGGUGAGUAACACGUAAAGACUUGCCCUGCAGUCUGGGACAACUAUUGGAAACGAUAGCUAAUACCGGAUAUUGCCGCAUGGCGAAAGCUAUAUGCGCUGUAGGAGAGCUUUGCGUCCCAUUAGUUAGUUGGUGAGGUAACGGCUCACCAAGACCGCGAUGGGUAGCCGGCCUGAGAGGGUGAACGGCCACAAGGGGACUGAGACACGGCCCUUACUCCUACGGGAGGCAGCAGUGGGGAAUAUUGGACAAUGGACCAAAGUCUGAUCCAGCAAUUCUGUGUGCACGAUGAGGUCUUAGGAUUGUAAAGUGCUUUCAAUCGGGAAAAAGAAAGUGAUGGUACCGAUAGAAGAAGCGACGGCUAAAUACGUGCCAGCAGCCGCGGUAAUACGUAUGUGCAAGCGUUAUCCGGAUUUAUUGGGCGUAAAGCGCGUCUAGGCGGUCUGGUAAGUCUGAUGUG
rnacentral:rRNA from 1 species